rnacentral:rRNA from 1 species
GGGAUUGCCCUAGUAACGGCGAGUGAAGCGGCAAUAGCUCAAAUUUGAAAUCUGGCUCCUUUUAGGGGUCCGAGUUGUAAUUUGCAGAGGGUGCUUUGGAGUAGGCAGCGGUCUAAGUUCCUUGGAACAGGACAUCGCAGAGGGUGAGAAUCCCGUUUGUGGUCGCAUGCCUUCGCCGUGUAAAGCCCCUUCGACGAGUCGAGUUGUUUGGGAAUGCAGCUCUAAAUGGGAGGUAAAUUUCUUCUAAAGCUAAAUACUGGCCAGAGACCGAUAGCGCACAAGUAGAGUGAUCGAAAGAUGAAAAGCACUUUGGAAAGAGAGUCAAACAGCACGUGAAAUUGUUAAAAGGGAAGCGCUUGCAGCCAGACUUGCCCGUAGUUGCUCACCUUGGCUUUUGCCUUGGGCAUUCUUCUGCGGGCAGGCCAGCAUCAGUUUGGGCGGUCGGAUAAAGGUCUCUGUCAUGUAGCUCUCUUCGGGGAGAACUUAUAGGGGAGGCGAAAUGCGACCAGCCCGGACUGAGGUCCGCGCUUCGGCUAGGAUGCUGGCGUAAUGGCUGUAAGCGGCCCGUCUUGAAACACGGACCAAGGAGUCUAACAUCUAUGCGAGUGUUUGGGUGUCAAGCCCGAGCGCGUAAUGAAAGUGAACGGAGGUGGGAACCCUUUGGGUGCACCAUCGACCGAUCCUGAUGUCUUCGGAUGGAUUUGAGUAAGAGCAUAGCUGUUGGGACCCGAAAGAUGGUGAACUAUGCUUGAAUAGGGUGAAGCCAGAGGAA